AUGGUGGUCGAUGCAUUGGCUACCAUCCUAGACAAGACGAAGGCCGCGGGACACAUCCGCGGUAUAGUUCCUCACCUGGUGGGGGGACAUGGUGUGUCCCUACUCCAGUACGCAGACGACGCCAUCAUUAUGAUGGAGGGGUCCACGACGGAUAUCACGAUGAAAUUCCUCCUACUCUGCUUCCAGCAGAUGUCGAGCCUUACAAUCAACUUCGCUAAGAGCGAAGUGAUGGUGAUGGGCUAUUCCCCCGCGGAGAGCCAGAGUAUAGCCAGCCGACUCAACUGUCAGUUAAGCUCCUUCCCCACCACCUAGCUGGAGAUUCCCAUUAGUGACUCUCGGCUCUCGUCGCGGACUUGA
rnacentral:rRNA from 1 species